UUGAAAGUAUAUUUUAUAUGGAUUUUGGGAAAUAUUAUGCGUGAUGUUUUAAAUGGUAUUUUGGAUAUAUUAUUUAUUCAAUUGUUGAAAGUGAUAUUUUUAUGAGGCAUUGAAAAUAUAUUUUGGGUUUUGACAUAUUUGAGUAUCUUGAGUAUGAACAUAUGAAUUUUGAGGAUUUCUAUAUAUAUUUGGCUAUGUGUGGGGUACUUGGGUUGUUGAGAUGAGAUUGUGGAAAGUGGUGAGUAUAGAAUGUCAGUUUUGAGUGCUAUAAGCACUACCCUAUGUACCUCCCCUGAUUUGGAACUUGGAUACGGAGACUUGAGAUACUUGGAAUUGUCGGAACCCGGGGCAUCCUUGAUGGGAUGUUGCUGUAGACCCUUGAUUGGGUAAUCUGCGCGCGUAGGACUGAUCACAUACGUACGAGUUUUGAGGUUAUUAACGGUACGUGCUGACUGAGAGUUGGUCCCCCAGUUGGACCGUUCGUUCCCUAGUCACAUGGUGGAUUGAGGACUCUUCAUAAGGACUCUGCCAGGGUGACUAGUCAAACAAUCCCC
rnacentral:lncRNA from 1 species